AGGGGAGCCGGAGGGAAACCGAGUCUUAAUUGGGCGUUAAGUUGCAGGGUAUAGACCCGAAACCCGGUGAUCUAGCCAUGGGCAGGUUGAAGGUUGGGUAACACUAACUGGAGGACCGAACCGACUAAUGUUGAAAAAUUAGCGGAUGACCUGUGGCUGGGGGUGAAAGGCCAAUCAAACCGGGAGAUAGCUGGUUCUCCCCGAAAGCUAUUUAGGUAGCGCCUCGUGAAUUCAUCUCCGGGGGUAGAGCACUGUUUCGGCUAGGGGGCCAUCCCGGCUUACCAACCCGAUGCAAACUGCGAAUACCGGAGAAUGUUAUCACGGGAGACACACGGCGGGUGCUAACGUCCGUCGUGAAGAGGGAAACAACCCAGACCGCCAGCUAAGGUCCCAAAGUCAUGGUUAAGUGGGAAACGAUGUGGGAAGGCCCAGACAGCCAGGAUGUUGGCUUAGAAGCAGCCAUCAUUUAAAGAAAGCGUAAUAGCUCACUGGUCGAGUCGGCCUGCGCGGAAGAUGUAACGGGGCUAAACCAUGCACCGAAGCUGCGGCAGCGACGCUUAUGCGUUGUUGGGUAGGGGAGCGUUCUGUAAGCCUGUGAAGGUGGCCUGUGAGGGUUGCUGGAGGUAUCAGAAGUGCGAAUGCUGACAUAAGUAACGAUAAAGCGGGUGAAAAGCCCGCUCGCCGGAAGACCAAGGGUUCCUGUCCAACGUUAAUCGGGGCAGGGUGAGUCGACCCCUAAGGCGAGGCCGAAAGGCGUAGUCGAUGGGAAACGGGUUAAUAUUCCCGUACUUGGUGUUACUGCGAAGGGGGGACGGAGAAGGCU
rnacentral:rRNA from 1 species